rnacentral:rRNA from 1 species
CCUACGGGAGGCAGCAGUAGGGAAUCUUGCGCAAUGGGCGAAAGCCUGACGCAGCGACGCCGCGUGUGGGAUGAAUGCCUUCGGGUUGUAAACCACUUUCAGCAGGGACGAAGCCUCACGGUGACGGUACCUGCAGAAGAAGCCCCGGCUAACUACGUGCCAGCAGCCGCGGUAAU